rnacentral:rRNA from 1 species
CAUUAUCNAAAUAGCAUGACGGGGUUGUCGCUGGCCUCUUUUGACCGUGCACGCUCCGUCGUUCNUCAUUUCUCCAUCUAUUUGUGCACACCUCUUGCGUAUUGGGACUGCUUUGCAAAAAUGAAUAUGAAUUUGUGGGCUUUCCUUGUCGCUACCACACAUACACCAGUGUAAAUCGUAUGGAAUUNUGAUGCAUAUAAUGUAAUACAACUUUCAGCAACGGAUCUCUUGGCUCUCGCAUCGAUGAAGAACGCAGCGAAAUGCGAUAAGUAAUGUGAAUUGCAGAAUUCAGUGAAUCAUCGAAUCUUUGAACGCAUCUUGCGCUCCUUGGUUAAUGCAAGGAGCAUGCCUGUUUGAGUGUCAUUAAUGUCUCAACCACACCGAUGAGGUGUGGCUUGGAUUUGGGGGCUACAGGCUCUGCAUUGUAGUCUGCUCCCCUGAAAUGCAUGGGUGGCGACGACCUCUCCAUUAAGGUGUGAUACACAUAUCUGCAUCUGGUUGAGGGGUUUUGCUGCUGAGAGGAGUCGGAUUGAUAAACUUGACCUCAAAUCAGGUAGGACCACCCGCUGAACU